UUUUGCAGCCCAGUCCUGGAGGAGGACACUGGGCUUGAAGAGCACCCGCCUCUUCCUCCCUUCCCACAAAGCCUAGAAUUUGACAGGAGAAGGGGUUGGCUCUUCCUCACUCCUCACUCCCCGCUCCUCAAGUGUCAGACUGAAGGCAGGUGGGACAGGGAAGGAGAGAGCAGGUCUGGUCCCAGGCAAGCAGGGGAGUGUUCGGAGCAGGGGGAAGGAGUGGCAGGGG
rnacentral:lncRNA from 1 species